UUCUCGAAAAUUCCAAAAAUCCUUUAUGUUGUUUCAUAAUUUCCGUGGAGUAUUUGGAAAUUCCAGACCUUCUCCGCUUGUUGAAUGAAUUGCUGGCUCGUUGUCGGCCUCGCUGCUUGUCGAAUGAAUUUGCUGGCUCGUUGUCGGCCUCGCUGCUUGUCGAAUGAAUUUGCUGGCUCGUUGUCGGCCUCGCUGCUUGUCGAAUGAAUUGCUGGCUCGUUGUCGGCCUCGCUGCUUGUCGAAUGAAUUUGCUGGCUCGUUGUCGGCCUCGCUGCUUGUCGAAUGAAUUUGCUGGCUCGUUGUCGGCCUCGCUGCUUGCUGAAUUGCUGGCACGG